rnacentral:rRNA from 1 species
AGCGAACGCUGGCGGCAGGCUUAACACAUGCAAGUCGAGCGGGCGUAGCAAUACGUCAGCGGCAGACGGGUGAGUAACGCGUGGGAACAUACCUUUUGGUUCGGAACAACACAGGGAAACUUGUGCUAAUACCGGAUAAGCCCUUACGGGGAAAGAUUUAUCGCCGAAAGAUUGGCCCGCGUCUGAUUAGCUAGUUGGUGAGGUAAUGGCUCACCAAGGCGACGAUCAGUAGCNGGUCUGAGAGGAUGAUCAGCCACAUUGGACUGAGACACGGCCCAAACUCCUACGGGAGGCAGCAGUGGGGAAUAUUGGACAAUGGGCGAAAGCCUGAUGCAGCGACGCCGCGUGAGGGAUGACGGCC